UGCGCGAGAAUAUCUGCGUUGUUUUAUCACGCUGACGUCAUUUCCUUUCGAAAUACACGUUUUUGGGCCGUAAUACUUUUAUGCUUUGCCACGGAACGCGCAUUAUAUAAAAAGGUGUUUGAACAACGUGAGUUCGAGUAUCAUUUGGUAAACACACGUUCACUCUUCUGUUAAAACAUAUCUACCAAGUGACAAGAAAAGCUAGAAUGACGAUUACAACAUAUUAUAUUGCGUAACUAUCUAUAUAGCUCUAUAUCCAUAAAAACAAUCAGAGACAUUUUUCGUUUUAUAUUUGUUUCAGUUUAAAUUUUUUCCAUAUAAGCAAAACUUCUAUUAGCUAAUAUUCAUUUUGAAAUAUGUCUGGCGUGCUGAAUCUUUUGUGAAGGCUUACGUUGAAAAGCGUCAUCAUAUUUUAGAGACUUCUUUUGAAAGCAUCAUCGCAUACGAAACUUCGGCUUUUAUGUAAUUGUCCUUUCUUUUUAUGAUCAGUUAAAUUGUCUGAGACGACCAUGCCAGCGCUAAUAAUGUGCUUACUUUCAUUUAUAAAUUGGGAUUUUUUUUCCAGAAGAUUUAAGUUUACAGAUUUGUCGAACAAAUUAAAAUCAAAUAUCACUGUACACCUAACUAACUUUUGUUUAGCUUUCCUUUGAAGAUUCAUACUUUGUAAUGAAUAAAGUGAAUACCUGUGAAAACAUAACUGCAUACGGAACUAACUUUUAUUUAUGUCUUGGUCCUUUCGUUAAACGUUUUAAGCUUGAUGAUAUGUGGUGUGAAUAUAUAAUAAUGUUAGGUGAUUUGCUAAGAAUUUAUCAUGCAUACGAAACUAACUUUUAUAUUUCUAAGCUAUGUAAAGAUUGAUGCCCAAUGAUAUAUUUCGUUGAUUGCUUUGAACACUUCAUCGUGUAUGGAGCUAAGUUGUUAUCACGUUUUCGUCCUUUCCUUGAAGUUUCCGUCGUUAUGAAAAUGUAAGUUUUUUGCUACUAAAUCACCAUAUUUGAUAUUUUCUGUACCUUUUUUAUGAUUAUCAAAUUAUAUGGUUUGUUCAUAAAACUUCAUGGAAAGAAAAUUGCCGCUUUUGAUGAAUAUAAAAAUACAAAAAAAUUAUAAUCCGUUAAAUGAUCAUCUAACAGGAAAGAUUCCUGCAUAUUUAGCAUAUUUUUAUUUCAUGCAUUUAAAUAGUUUUUGUGUUUAUUUUACAGACAGACAUACACACAUACUCCAAUUGGGUAUUCUUCAUGGCAGAGUCUAUAGAAGGAGAGCCUCAAGAAUGUCAGGGAAAAGUUUGGUGGUCAACUGAAGGUGGAGUGGAAGUUACCAGUGCAAGUUGUGGCCCUGUUGCGUAUUAAACAUAUGUUAAUUGCUAUGUCAACAAGAUAGGGCACUCAAAUGAUGACAUUGUAAUUGCAAAAGGAAUUUUAAAACAUAUUUUUGAAAUCAUAUUAAAAAAGCAAUAUUUGUAAAUUGGUUAAUCAUAAUAAAUAUUCAGAACUCUA